rnacentral:rRNA from 1 species
CCCUUAGAUGUUCUGGGCCGCACGCGCGCUACACUGAUGCAUUCAACGAGCCUAUCCUUGACCGACAGGUCCGGGUAAUCUUUGAAUCUGCAUCGUGACGGGGAUAGAUUAUUGCAAUUAUUAAUCUUCAACGAGGAAUGCCUAGUAGGCGCAAGUCAUCAGCUUGCGUCGAUUACGUCCCUGCCCUUUGUACACACCGCCCGUCGCUCCUACCGAUUGGAUGAUCCGGUGAGCUAUUCGGACCUUCGCUUCGUCGAUUUUCGGCUUUGUGAGGGAAAGUCUCGCGAACCUUAUCAUCUAGAGGAAGGAGAAGUCGUAACA